AUUGAACGCUGGCGGCAGGCUUAACACAUGCAAGUCGAACGAGUGGCGGACGGGUGAGUAAUGCUUGGGAAUCUAGCUUAUGGAGGGGGAUAACUACGGGAAACUGUAGCUAAUACCGCGUACCAUAGGAUGAGCCCAAGUGGUCUUAGGUAGUUGGUGAGGUAAAGGCUCACCAAGCCGACGAUUUCUAGCUGGUCUGAGAGGGUGACCCGCCAAACUGGGGCUUGGACACGGCCCAUGAUCCUACGGGAGGCAGCAGUGGGGAAGAUUGCGCAAUGGGGGCAACCUGACGCAGCCAUGCCGCGUGAAUGAAGAAGGCCUUCGGGUUGUAAAGUUCUUUCGGUAGCGAGGCGUUAACUACAGAAGAAGCACCGGCUAACUCCGUGCCAGCAGCCGCGGUAAUUC
rnacentral:rRNA from 1 species